AGUGAACGCUGGCGGUAGGCCUAACACAUGCAAGUCGAACGGCCGCACAGUAAGAGCUUGCUCUUACGGGUGGCGAGUGGCGGACGGGUGAGGAAUACAUCGGAAUCUACUUUUUCGUGGGGGAUAACGUAGGGAAACUUACGCUAAUACCGCAUACGACCUACGGGUGAAAGCAGGGGAUCUUCGGACCUUGCGCGAUUGAAUGAGCCGAUGUCGGAUUAGCCAGUUGGCGGGGUAAAGGCCCACGAAGGCGACGAUCCGUAGCUGGUCUGAGAGGAUGAUCAGCCACACUGGAAGUGAGACACGGCACAGACUCCUACGGGAGGCAGCAGUGGGGAAUAUUGGACAAUGGGCGCAAGGCUGAUCCAGCCAUACCGCGUGGGUGAAGAAGGCCUUCGGGUUGGAGAGCCCUGUUGUUGGGAAAGAAAAGCAGCAGGUUAAUACCCCGCUGUUCUGACGGUACCCAAAGAAUAAGCACCGGCUAACUUCGUG
rnacentral:rRNA from 1 species